GAGUAGAGCACCGCAGAAGAACUGAAGACUGUUGUGUGCUCCCCGCAGAAGGGGCUGCCAUGAUCCUUUCCUCCUAUAACACCAUCCAGUCGGUUUUCUGUUGUUGCUGUUGCUGUUCAGUGCAGAAGCGACAAGUGAGAACACAGAUAAGCCUGAGCACAGAUGAAGAGCUUCCAGAAAAAUACACCCAGCAUCGCAGGCCGUGGCUCAGCCAAUUGUCAAAUAAGAAGCAAUCCAACACGGGCCGUGUGCAGCCGUCAAAACGAAAGCCACUGCCUCCCCUCCCACCCUCUGAGGUUGCUGAAGAGAAGAUCCAAGUCAAGGCACUUUAUGAUUUUCUGCCCAGAGAACCCUGUAAUUUAGCCUUAAGGAGAGCAGAAGAAUACCUGAUACUGGAGAAAUACAAUCCUCACUGGUGGAAGGCAAGAGACCGUUUGGGGAAUGAAGGCUUAAUCCCAAGCAACUAUGUGACUGAAAACAAAAUAACUAAUUUAGAAAUAUAUGAGUGGUACCAUAGAAACAUUACCAGAAAUCAGGCAGAACAUCUAUUGAGACAAGAGUCUAAAGAAGGUGCAUUUAUUGUCAGAGAUUCAAGACAUUUAGGAUCCUACACAAUUUCCGUAUUUAUGGGAGCUAGAAGAAGUACGGAGGCUGCCAUAAAACAUUAUCAGAUAAAAAAGAAUGACUCAGGACAGUGGUAUGUGGCUGAAAGACAUGCCUUUCAAUCAAUCCCUGAGUUAAUCUGGUAUCACCAGCACAAUGCAGCCGGUCUCAUGACUCGUCUCCGAUAUCCAGUUGGGCUGAUGGGCAGUUGUUUACCAGCCACAGCUGGGUUUAGCUACGGUAAAGUGUGCACACAUGCUGAAGUAAAAUAGCAAAUCCAGUAGUAAAGAAUCUACCUGGCUGGGUGCGGUGGCUUACAGCUGUAAUCCUAGCACUUUGGGAGGCAAAGGUGGGUGGAUCACCUUAGGUCAGGCGUUCAAGACCACCCUGGCCAAAAUGGUGAUACCCCGUCUCCACUAAAAAUACAAAAAAUUAGCCGGGUUUGGUGGUGGAUGCCUGUAAUCCCAGCUACUUGGGAGGCUGAGGCAGGAGAAUCGCUUGAACCCAGGAGGCAGAGGUUACAGUGAGCUGAGGUCAUGCCACUGCACUCCAGCCUGGGCAGCAGAGUGAGACUCUGUCUCAAAAAAAAAGGAAAAAAAAAG
rnacentral:sRNA from 1 species